AUAAGAUACCCCGGUAGUCCACGCCGUAAACGAUGAGUGCUAAGUGUUAGGGGGUUUCCGCCCCUUAGUGCUGCAGCUAACGCAUUAAGCACUCCGCCUGGGGAGUACGGUCGCAAGACUGAAACUCAAAGGAAUUGACGGGGGCCCGCACAAGCGGUGGAGCAUGUGGUUUAAUUCGAAGCAACGCGAAGAACCUUACCAGGUCUUGACAUCCCACUGACCGCUAUGGAGACAUAGUUUUCCCUUCGGGAACAGUGGUGACAAGUGGUGCAUGGUUGUUGUCAGCUCGUGUCGUGAGAUGUUGGGUUAAGUCCCGCAACGAGCGCAACCCUUGAUCUUAGUUGCCAUCAUUUAGUUGGGCACUCUAAGGUGACUGCCGGUGACAAACCGGAGGAAGGUGGGGAUGACGUCAAAUCAUCAUGCCCCUUAUGACCUGGGCUACACACGUGCUACAAUGGACGGUACAAACGGUUGCCGAACCCGCGAGGGGAGCUAAUCCGAUAAAACCGUCCUCAGUUCGGAUUGUAGGCUGCAACUCGCCUAC
rnacentral:rRNA from 1 species